AUAGAAGGCACACUCCUCUGACCAAGUUCAUUAGAAUGCUGAAGUUUCAUUGUUGAUUGCUAUUAAUCUAUGUCUGCCUGAUACUUGCAAGGGAAGGGGCAAGAGAUGAUGACAGCUUCUGAGGACUGGACUCCCUCUUCUCCCUCCGUCCUUUGGUUCCAUUUACAGCCCUGGCUGAACAUCAUUGUGUAGCCUGAACCACUGAGAGUUGGACCAGCAGCAGCCAACAAGAGUCCAGUAGAUGGAAGAUCCAGUCUGAGUUGGCAGCGAGCUGGGCCAAGAUCUAUGGCUAUAGAUUGGUAUCUUAACCCGACUCCCAAGUUUGUAGCCCAAGACAGUUUACCCGAGGGAGAGAAUGGGCCCUGAGCCCGGAUGGCUGGUUUCCCACCUUUGCUGCCCUACUGUGUCAAGCUCAUGUGUAUGAUGGAGAGAAGGUGGCUUCAGCUCUGACUUUCCAAUGCUAAUCCCAGCAAGAGCUCUCACCAGCUGGUCAGAAGGGCCCAGGAAGUACUGAACAACCACAGCUGUCCUACAGGCAGCAGAAGGGGAGCAAACGAGGAAAGCACCUGCUUUUACUCUGGCUGUAAACUGAGGACUCUGAGCCCAGCCACUUCAUUGUGCACACUGUGCUGAGAUGGCUUUUGGCAAGGGGCCGCUUUGUGCUGCGGUGGAAGCCCAAACCACAGCACUCUUACAAAGCAGGAAUUUCUCAGCAUUGUCCCAGCAUCAAGCCAGCGGCCAAGGUGGCAGAUGUGAGCUUCCUGCUGUGGCCACCAUACCUGCUACUUGCUGCCAUGAUUCUACACCAUGAUGGACGUCUACCUAUCUGGAACUGCAAGCCCAAAUAAACCCCUGUCUUCCAU
rnacentral:lncRNA from 1 species